rnacentral:misc_RNA from 1 species
GAAAAAGCAUCAAGAGAAUUGCAAUGGAGCAAGAAAUUAGGCACCAAUUGAAACCCUAUAAUUAGAAGACAAACAAAACUCCUGAAGUUUUCUCUUCUGCACUUUCCCCUAUCCCUAACUGAUGCAAAGUUGAAUGUCAAAACUAUGAUUUGUAGGCUGCAAUGCCUUAUGUGAGCAUAUCACUGAAAAUAGAAAGCAAUAGAGGCAUGGGUGAUAAGGGCAAGUAAAGAAGCAAAAUAAAAUUUGGUGAGAUUAAUGUAGAGAAUAGCUUUAGAUUUGUAAAACAAUUCUGUCAAUGGAGCAGUCACUAUGAUGCCAUUGGCCAAGAAGGUGAUGUUUAUGCCCACAAGAUUAACAUAUAAGUCAGUGAAUUUUAUUUUGUAACAUUAGAGCUGAAGUCUAGUGCCACAUGGAAUCAGAUAGAGCAUUGCUACAACCACAUUAAGAAAUGGAUACUCAACAUAACUCACCAU